UUUAAAUGCCCGUGAACUUAUUUUUCUCGAGUACUUAGUAAAAGGCCCUGGAUCCCAUAAGGGAUGAGGGGGAGGAGAGGAUGGCGCAGGCUCUCUAGGGUCAGGUUAGUCACGUAGGAAAGGUCAGCGCAGGGCUGCGAUGGUUCCUUAUCUCAAGGCAUAAAGUCUGGGCUGUGGGGCUUCUGCAAAUUCUCUUAGGCGCGCUCCUGGGUGGCAGCAGGGUCAGGAGGUGUCGGGGGUGGGGUCGCGGGGGUGGCGGGCGUCCCCAGGUUUGCUUGAGCAUCUCCUUUUCCUCGGGGAGGCCGGAGGCCGCGCCCACCCGGGCGAAAUUUCCGGAGGCCCACGCCGGGCCCGAAGCCCGCAGGGCCGCGCACGCGGGAUGCCGCGCAGGUCGACUUAAAGGAGCCGGCUUACUCAGCGCGAGGCCCCCGCGGCUUACUCGCUUCUAUUCCGGGCUAAACCAAGGUCACUCUUUAAUACGGCCCGACCGAGCGGGCGGGCUGCGGGCGGUGACCGGCGGGCGGCCAGCGCGCACCUGCGGGCGGCCGC
rnacentral:lncRNA from 1 species